AAUGAUAACCUGCUCGUAGCGGCGCAAACAGGCAGAUCAUCAAGACGCCGUGAAUACCUCCUUGUCGGCUCGUCCCGCGCCAUCCCUGGCGCGGACGCUU
rnacentral:ncRNA from 1 species